rnacentral:rRNA from 1 species
CCCAGACUCCUACGGGAGGCAGCAGUGGGGAAUAUUGGGCAAUGGGGGAAACCCUGACCCAGCGACGCCGCGUGAGGGAAGAAGGUUUUCGGAUUGUAAACCUCUGUCCUUGGUGACGAUAAUGACGGUAGCCAAGGAGGAAGCCACGGCUAACUACGUGCCAGCAGCCGCGGUAAUACGUAGGGAGCGAGCGUUGUCCGGAAUUACUGGGUGUAAAGGGAGCGUAGGCGGGCGAGAAAGUUGAAUGUUAAAUCUACCGGCUUAACUGGUAGCUGCGUUCAAAACUUCUUGUCUUGAGUGAAGUAGAGGCAGGCGGAAUUCCUAGUGUAGCGGUGAAAUGCGUAGAUAUUAGGAGGAACACCAGUGGCGAAGGCGGCCUGCUGGGCUUUAACUGACGCUGAGGCUCGAAAGCGUGGGGAGCAAACAGGAUUAGAUACCCCAGUA